GUCAGGAGAUAUGACGUAGGGUGGACUAUAAGGUCUAAGGUCAGGAGAUAGCAUAUGUCGUAGGGUGGACUAUAAGGUCUAAGGUCAGGAGAUAUGACGUAGGGUGGACUAUAAGGUCUAAGGUCAGGAGUUAUGAGGUAGGGUGGACAAUAAGGCCAAGGUUCAGGAGAUAUGACGUAGGGUGGACUAUAAGGCCUAAGGUCAGGAGAUAUGAGGUAGGGUGGACUAUAAGGUCUAAGGUCAGGAGAUAUGACGUAGGGUGGACUAUAAGGUCUAAGGUCAGGAGAUAUGACGUAGGGUGGACUAUAAGGUCUAAGGUCAGGAGAUAAGACGUAGGGUGGACUAUAAGGCCUAAGGUCAGGAGAUAUGAGGUAGGGUGGACUAUAAGGCCUAAGGUCAGGAGGUAGCAUAUGUCGUAGGGUGGACUAUAGAUUUAACUGAAUUUUUACUGAACUAUGCAUGCUUUCACCAAUGAUUGACAUUCAUUUUUAUUUAACCUUUAUUUAACUAGGAAAGUCAGUUAAGAACAAAUUCUUAUUUACAAUGGCGGCCUACAAAAAGGCAAAAGGCCUCCUACGGGGACGGGGGGCUGGGAUUAAAAAAUAUAAAUAAAUGUUAUAAAAAUUUACGACAAAACACACAUCUCGACAAGAGAGACCUAUUAAUGUGUGUGCUGUGACAAAAACACUGCGAAGUGCUCUCCUUCCAGACUCACGUUAAACAUCUCCAAUCCAAAAUUAAAUCUAGAAUUGGCUUCCGAUUUUGCAACAAAGUCUCCUUCACUCGUGCUGCCAAACAUACCCUCGUAAAACUGACUAUCAUACCAAUCCUUGACUUCGGCGAUGUCAUUUACAAAAUAGACUCAAACACUCUGCUCAGGAAAUUGGAUGCAGUCUUCCGUUUUGUCACCAAAGCCCCAUAUACUACCCACCACUGCGAUCUGUAUGAUCUCGUUGGCUGGUCCUCGCUAGAUAUUCGUCGCCAAACCCAC
rnacentral:lncRNA from 1 species